CUUGUGGGUCAUACAGGCUUAGCAAUGGAGCCACAGACACACCCGUGGUUAAUCAGACAAGGCCUGUAGUAGUAAUUGUGUGAUGGCAGGAUGUGUGGCCUAUCUGAAGAUUCUCUCCACAGCCAUGCAAUGCAUAGUGACAGUUCCAAAGCAGUAGGUAAUAAGGCCCACAUGACUAUUGACCUUCAUCCUGAUGGUGAACCUACUCAAACUGAGGUUGAAAGAAUUGAGAUGUGGAAUAAAUCUGUGAAACAAAAUUACAAGCCAUGAAAACGUGCAAGCAGUGCGUAAGCUCGCUAAUUAACAUCAGUGAUGAAAGACUACGACCAGCAUCGGAAGAGCAGCAGUCCUGUGAUGACCCAAAUGGGCAACAGUUGGCUGGUGGUAAAUGUCAUUUAGUCAUUAAGUGGACAGAUGAAAAAUUUGAAAAAGUCAAGUACUGUAUAUAGUCAUUUGAAAGGAAGUAAACACUUUUCUGCUGUAGUUCUAAAGCAGCAGACAAACUGAGGUUGGUGGGAUAGAGUGAAACAGAAUUGCAAGCCAUGGAAACGUGCGGACAGCUGCAUGUAAGUUAUCUUGAAAUGCUCGGUAUUCAACGUCAGUGAUGCAAGACUAUGACCAUCAUCGGAAGAGUAGCAGUCCUGUAAUGAUCCAAAUGGGCAAAACUUGGCUGGCUGGUGGGUCAUGACCUUCACUACAUAACUAAAAUGACAAAUCAAAUGAAGCCUAGUCACACACCGUGUUGGAAGUAAUGUUUACAAGGGCACCCUCAGUCAUCAAAGUCUGUUACAGAAAGAUUGUCAUUUAGUUUCAUCUCCUGCUUCAUCAAUGUACACCUUGAAUGAUGCCUGUUCAUGGUACGAGCAAAGUUGUUUACACCAAGCUCCCCAACACAACAUCACUACUCAACGAGUGACAACAUCUCCAUCCUAUCAAGGCCAAGCCCGAUCCCCCAUCACAUUUCAAUAUGACAGUAAAGUAAAAGUUUUAGGUCAAUAAUUUCUUUUUUAUUUCUAAUUUUUACAGUGGCCCUAUUUAUUGUCAUUUUUAUUGCAGGAAAUUUUGUACACAUAAACUAAAGGUGGUUUCCAAAAAACGGUCAUUGCCCUUUUUUUAAGUUGGACCCCAGGGUUCCCCACACACUUACAAAACAAAACAGGAGUUUCAGCAAAGACUGUACAUUACUGCCAUUGCCACUAGUAGGGCACGGCAUUACAAAUAAACAUUCUAAUUAUUAAAAAAUUUCUAUCUUAUUAGCUCUUCAAAAAAAAAACCCAAUGUAAUAACUUGUGCCUGUCCCGUUUUUAAGCGUGGAUGAAUGCGCGGACAGUGAGCAGUUGAUGUUGUUUAUUGUUGGUUGUUUUAUUGUUUUUUAUUUGUAUGUUGUUGGGAGAGAUUUAUUUUUCUCAAUAGUAAUGCUUUAAUGAGUUUUGAAAAGUUCUUGUAAAUUUUACCUUAUACUUUUAAAAUUUAAACAGAUUAAAUUUUUGUCUUAAUAUACGAUCAUGGCCUAAAAAGGAAGAAUUCAAAAAAUCUACAAUUGCAAAUUCGAUAACUAAUGAUGUUUUGGCCCUGUUGUAGUUUACCUAAAUACUUUUCAUUUCUUUUUUGUAGUUUACUGUGAGAAUUUCAUCAGUUCUUUUAUGCUUUGAAUUUGUAUGUGCGUGUUCCAUCGAUAUAAAGUGUUUGAUUAUUAAUAAUAAUUAUUGUUGUGUAUUUUACAAAAUAAUUUUUUUCGAUAGUCCAAGUCAGUCAUAAGUAACGCUUGCACUUCAAAUCAGAUGUUUUUAAAAUCAAUUUUUAGCCCACUCUCUGAGAGAGAGGGCUUACGAUGAUUUUGAGCGAAUUUUGAAGUCAUUUGAUUUUCUAUCUCUUCCUUCGUUUGUGACGCGAUUAGGCCGAUCUUGCAAUGAUAUGGAAGAGAAGGCUUGGGGAAUUUAAAGUAUGAAGAGUUUUUGCGAAAAUGUUGUCGGGAAAUAUGUGAUAUUAUA